GACGAACGCUGGCGGCGUGCUUAACACAUGCAAGUCGAACGGGCCGCUGAAAUGCUUGCAUUUUGGUUGGUUAGUGGCGAACGGGUGAGUAACACGUGAGUAACCUGCCCCCUUCUUUGGGAUAACAUUUCGAAAGGGAUGCUAAUACCGGAUAUUCUGGCUUCAUCGCAUGGUGGGGUUUGGAAAGGGUUUCUGGUGGGGGAUGGGCUCGCGGCUUAUCAGCUGGUUGGUGGGGUGAUGGCUUACCAAGGCUUUGACGAGUAGCCGGCCUGAGAGGGUGGUCGGGCACACUGGGACUGAGAUACGGCCCAGACUCCUACGGGAGGCAGCAGUGGGGAAUAUUGCACAAUGGGCGAAAGCCUGAUGCAGCGACGCCGCGUGGGGGAUGAAGGCCUUCGGGUUGUAAACUCCUUUCGCUUAUCAGCAAGCCGCUAUUUUGUUAGUGGUGAGGAUAGUAGGUAAAGAAGCACCGGCUAACUACGUGCCAGCAGCCGCGGUAAUACGUAGGGUGCGAGCGUUGUCCGGAAUUAUUGGGCGUAAAGAGCUCGUAGGUGGUUGGUCGCGCUGUCGUGAAAGCUCAUGGCUUAACUGUGAGUUUGCGGUGGGUACGGCUGACUUGAGUGCAGUAGGGGAGAUUGGAAUUCCUGGUGUAGCGGUGGAAUGCGCAUAUAUCAAGAGGAAUACCGGUGGCGAAGGCGGAUCUCUGGGCUGUUACUGACACUGAGGAGCGAAGCAUGGGGAGCGAACGGG
rnacentral:rRNA from 1 species